rnacentral:rRNA from 1 species
AUUGAACGCUGGCGGCAUGCCUUACACAUGCAAGUCGAACGGUAACAGGUCUUCGGAUGCUGACGAGUGGCGAACGGGUGAGUAAUACAUCGGAACGUGCCCGAUCGUGGGGGAUAACGAGGCGAAAGCUUUGCUAAUACCGCAUACGAUCUACGGAUGAAAGCGGGGGAUCUUCGGACCUCGCGCGGACGGAGCGGCCGAUGGCAGAUUAGGUAGUUGGUGGGAUAAAAGCUUACCAAGCCGACGAUCUGUAGCUGGUCUGAGAGGAUGAUCAGCCACACUGGGGCUGAGACACGGCCCAGACUCCUACGGGAGGCAGCAGUGGGGAAUUUUGGACAAUGGGCGAAAGCCUGAUCCAGCCAUGCCGCGUGCAGGAUGAAGGCCUUCGGGUUGUAAACUGCUUUUGUACGGAACGAAAAGCCUCUUUCUAAUAAAGAGGGGUCAUGACGGUACCGUAAGAAUAAGCACCGGCUAACUACGUG